rnacentral:rRNA from 1 species
AUUGAACGCUGGCGGCAUGCCUUACACAUGCAAGUCGAACGGUAACGGGCCUUCGGGUGCCGACGAGUGGCGAACGGGUGAGUAAUACAUCGGAACGUGCCCGAUCGUGGGGGAUAACGAGGCGAAAGCUUUGCUAAUACCGCAUACGAUCUACGGAUGAAAGCAGGGGACCGCAAGGCCUUGCGCGGACGGAGCGGCCGAUGGCAGAUUAGGUAGUUGGAGGGAUAAAAGCUUACCAAGCCGACGAUCUGUAGCUGGUCUGAGAGGAUGAUCAGCCACACUGGGACUGAGACACGGCCCAGACUCCUACGGGAGGCAGCAGUGGGGAAUUUUGGACAAUGGGCGCAAGCCUGAUCCAGCCAUGCCGCGUGCAGGAUGAAGGCCUUCGGGUUGUAAACUGCUUUUGUACGGAACGAAAAGCCUUCUUUUAAUACAGGAGGGUCAUGACGGUACCGUAAGAAUAAGCACCGGCUAACUACGUG